AUGCUGUCCGAGCAAGCCCAAAAGUGGUUCCCCACCCACGUGCAGGUCACAGUGCUCCAAGCCAAAGAGCUGAAGCCCAAAGGCAAAAGUGGCACCAAUGACACGUACACGAUCAUCCAGCUGGGCAAGGAGAAGUACUCCACCUCCGUGGCCGAGAAAACCCUCGAGCCGGUGUGGAAGGAAGAGGCCUCCUUCGAGCUGCCCGGGAUGCUGGCGCAGGGGAACCCCGAGAAAUACAUCCUCUUCCUCAUAGUCAUGCACAGGUCCCUGGUCGGGCUGGAUAAAUUCUUGGGGCAAGUGGCAAUCAAUCUCAAUGACAUCUUUGAGGACAAACAAAGAAGGAAAACCGAGUGGUUCAGAUUAGAAUCCAAACAAGGAAAAAGAGCUAAAAACAGGGGUGAGAUAAAGGUCAAUAUUCAGUUCAUGAGGAACAAUAUGACAGCCAGUAUGUUUGAUUUAUCAAUGAAGGACAAAACGAGAUCUCCUUUUGCAAAACUAAAAGAUAAGAUGAAAGGAAGAAAAAACGAUGGGACAUUUUCGGAUACGUCUUCUGCAAUCAUUCCAAGCACUCCCCUGCCUGAUGCCAGCACGGAGUUUGCAAACCACGAAAUCCAGAUGAAAUCCAAACCAAAAAAAUCUUUUCUUUUGGGUCCUCAGAGACUUUCUUCAGCCCAUUCAAUGUCUGACUUAACUGGGUCCCACAUGUCCUCUAAGAAACUGAAGUCAGGCACUGUUGGUCAAACACAUCUUCUGGGGCGCCAGAUAGAUUCCUUUGGGGCAGUUCCAGAAAGCGGAAGUCUCAAAUCUCCACACAAAAGAACAUUAAGCUUUGAUACUUCUAAAAUGAACCAACCUGACAACAGCGUGGCCGAAGGCGAACUGUUGUCCUUCGGAAGACAGAAUGACCCAUUUACAAAUGUGACUGCUUCAUUACCCCAAAAAUUUGCAACACUGCCAAGGAAGAAAAACCCAUUUGAAGAAAGCAGUGAAUCAUGGGACAGCAGUGUGAAUUUAUUUUCCAAAUCAGUUGAAAUAAGGAAAGAAAACAAAAGAGAGAAGAGAGAGAAAGUUAGCCUCUUUGAAAAAGUUACUGGGGAAAAAAGACAGCAGAAGAUCUGAUAGACCUAACAGUGGGGGGGUCACACAGUCCUUGUGAUGUGAAAUCACCUAAUGCAUUCAGUGAAAACCACCAGGACUGCUUUGAUUAUGAGUCAACUAAUCUGUUUACAACAAAAUUCGGGGCUUCUAAUAUAAUGCCAUCUUCAAGUAGAUAA